rnacentral:rRNA from 1 species
GGGGGAGUAACACCUGGGUGAUUUGCCCCUUAACUUUCGGAUAAAGCCCUGGGAAAACGGGUUUUAAUACCGGAAUGGACCGUUUUUUUUAGUUUUGGCGGUGGAAAGACUUUGGUCGGUAGGGGAUGAGCUUGCGGCCUAUCAGCUUGUUGGUGGGGUAAUGGCCUACCAAGGCGUUGACGGGUAGCCGGCCUGAGAGGGUGUACGGCCACAUUGGGACUGAGAUACGGCCCAGACUCCUACGGGAGGCAGCAGUGGGGAAUAUUGCACAAUGGGCGCAAGCCUGAUGCAGCGACGCCGCGUGGGGGAUGACGGCCUUCGGGUUGUAAACUCCUUUCGCCAGGGACGAAGCGUUAUAGUGACGGUACCUGGAUAAGAAGCACCGGCUAACUACGUGCCAGCAGCCGCGGUAAUACGUAGGGUGCAAGCGUUGUCCGGAAUUACUGGGCGUAAAGAGCUCGUAGGUGGUUUGUCACGUCGUCUGUGAAAGUCCAGCGCUUAACGCUGGGAUUGCAGGCGAUACGGGCUGACUUGAGUGCUGUAGGGGAGACUGGAAUUCCUGGUGUAGCGGUGAAAUGCGCAGAUAUCAGGAGGAACACCAAUGGCGAAGGCAGGUCUCUGGGCAGUGACUGACGCUGAGGAGCGAAAGCAUGGGUAGCCAACAGGAUUAGAUACCCUGGUAGUCCAUGCCGUAAACGGUGGGCGCUAGGUGUGGGGACCUUCCCACGGUUUCUGCGCCGUAGCUAACGCAUUAAGCGCCCCG